CCUGACCCCAUUGUUUCCUUGUUUGCAUGUCUAAGGACAAGUGGAUGAAGCUUGCCAUGGAACAGAAAGGACCAUUCCUGUCAUCCGUUUAAGAAUCCAAUAGGAAGGAGUGUUUUUCUUGUUCUUCAUUUUUUUUUUCUUUUUCCCUCUCUUGUGGUUUUGGCUUUUCAAAAAAAAAAAGAAAAAAAGAAAAACUCGGUUUUCAACAGAUCCAAGAGGUUCAGAUGAGAUGUUCUUUCCUGUCAAACAGGAUCCUAAACCUUUUGAGGUUUCUCAAGGACUUGUCUCUAUAAGCUGAAAAGUCUGUUCUCUUUCUUCACUGUUGCCAGAAAAGUAAUUAGGUCAUUUUUCUAAUUAUAGUAAUCUUCCCCAAAUGGCAUAUAACUUCAAAUCCAAAUACCAUGUAAAUUGGCCAACAACAUUCUGCCGUGAAGCACUUCAUUGAGACAGUUGGGAUGUAGGAGUUUCACCUUGUGGGGAGGAAGAAUGUGCUCUCUGUCCCAGUUACAACCGGUUUUAUUUUUUUCUUUUUUUUUCUUUUUUAGGGCCACUUGUGGCAUAUGGAGGUUCCUAGGCUAGGGUCAAAUCGGAGCUAUAGCUGCCGGCCUACACCACACAGCAACGCCAGGUCUGAACUGCAUCUCUGAUCUACACCACAGCUCAUGGCAAUGGUGGAUCCUUAACCCACUGAGCAAGGCCAGGGAUCAAACCUGCAUCCUCAUGGUUACUAGUCAGGUUCAUUUCUGCUGAACCACAACAGGAGCUCCACAACCAGUUUUCUUUCUCUGUGUCUUGCCCAGGAAGUUCCACUGAAUUAGUGUAAAAAAACUAGGAUGGCAGUUGCUCAUGUCAGUGGCAUUUGGUGGAGAGUUAUGUCUGUGGCAGAGAAAUUAAACUCUUUUUGGAAAACAUGCUUAUUUGCAGGAAAAACUGAACAAGAUUAAAUUAUCCUUAGGUUGUUACACUGAUGAAAAAUCUCUACAGACAGGAAGAGUGAGUUUCCCUGCAUCACACAACCGAGAACCAGAUUUUUCUUCCCCAAGAAGAAUCCUUUUUUCUAUGAUGCUAACUGAGGGGAAAUGAGGUCCUGCUGGUAAAUUUUGUGGUCCAGAUUAUGCUCACAGUUAUUUUUCUUAUUCCAUUUGUCAAAAAACACUUUUGCAAAUGGUAUAUCCUCUAGCUAUUUGGUUUUCAUUGCUUACCCACCCUCUGGCCUUAAUGGAAGGGUUUCUGGAUUGGGAUAAUGGUACUAGAAUUAAGUCUCUAGAACAUGAAACUGGGCCGUGAGAUAAUGAAGAGUAAGAGAGGGUGGAUUCCUCCAGGAGAUGAUAGAGUGACAGGAAAAGGGGAAGGUUAAAAUUGCAUUGGGACUUAAAAACAAAAAUGGAGCCAGCAUUUAAGAAUGCUGCCAGGAUGUGUCACAGUUACUGAGGGUGUGUAGAUGAUGCUUAACUUGGCAGUGCAAACUAAGACCACUUCAUUUCCAUGAAACAGUGCCAUCACACCAUUUCAACCUGGAUGUUGGUGGGGAGGAGAAUGCAUGAGUUGGGUAUUUCCAAGUGUCAGGCCUUUAAAAUUAUUAGAUUCCAAUUUAGUAGCAGCUAUGUUUUUUAAAAAUGCAAAUUUCAAAUUGUUGUUCUAGAAACUGUAUUUUGUAGGUCUGAGGUGGGGCCCUGGAAUACGCAUUUUUGCAAGCUUCUUAGGUGGUUCUUAGACCAAGCUAUUAUUAGCUAUUACCCAACACUAUUAGUUAUUAUAUAUUAUAUAACUAAUUGGUUGUUAGCCAACACUGUUUUUCUGGGAAUUUUAAGGGAUCUAGGCUGGUAGACUUGCUCAGAGCUCUAGAGCAUUGAUAAUACCAUUUGGAACCAAUACCACUGAAGGGAUGCAAAUAAGUGAAUAAUAAUACCUUCUAGGCAAGAGUUGUGGUCAUCCUCCAGUGAGAUGAAUUAGAAAAAAAAAAUUUUCCUUAAAAGCUAUUCAGGGUGGAAUCAUGACCUACUAAAGUGAAAAUUAUGUUGUUGAAAGCCAAGCCAUGGAUUAUUUUAAGGGGCUGGUUAUUUAGAUUUGAGUAGGUAAUAGUAAAGGGGAAUGGAGCUAUAAAUGUUUUUUGGGGGGCUGGAUAUAAAAAUGUACAUUUGAGAAAAGGGUAACAUUUUUCCUUAAGCCUCAUUGAACAGGAAUGUUAGAAAAAUAUUAGUGAGUACUAGCCAUUUCUCAAAGAAAGAGGACUUAAAAAAAAAUCUGUAUUAUCACCACUGUGGAACAUCACUGUACCAUACACAUUUCCUAGGCCAUUGUUUGAAUUCUGCUGUGGGCUCCUCGUAACUUCAGGAUAAUUUCUCUUGUGGAUUAUUUACUGGAAGUACCUUACAAAGCCAAACAGGUUAAGAUUGCUCUUAGCAAGACAUGGAAUCGAAAUUUCUUGAUUUCAUAGACAAAAAAAAAAAAAAUGCAGGCAAAGGAAUCUUGGAUUUAUUUAAAUUUGAAAUAUGGUUUUGUAUAAAAAUUAACUCCUCCAACCACCAUGUCUUAUAACAUGUUUGUCUAGUCACUUGUAUAUUCCUCUGUGGUAGAAACUCUUCAUGAAGCUUCCUUUGCUGGCCAUACUUUUACAUUCAGAAGCACCCUUGUGAAAAGUCAGUGUUUGAAAGGGGAAUAUAACCUCAUAGUAAAAAUACUACUGAAUCCUGGGCACCUACUGCUUCCAAUAAUUUUCCAACCCCUACUUAUCAAAGCCUCAUUAAUCAUCAGAAUACUUCAGUAAGGCUGAUGAAUUUUUGAAUAGCAUAAUUGUAUUCUCCCAUAAACACAUCAAAUAAGCCAUCUACAUGUUGAAUGACUUGUACAGAACAUCUACUGAAGGCUAGAAGAAGACCUUAAACCUCCAAAAAGGACAAGAAACCCUUCACAUAACUGUGUAGAACAAAAGGUGGGAAAAAAGCAGGAAAAAAAAAGGAAUCAGGGUUGAAUCCACACUCCUGAGAGGGAGCUGUGAAAGAGGAAAGGAAUCCUUACCCUGUGAGACCACCUAAAUGAUGGGGAGAUAAGCUGAGAUGGAGAGGGAACCUCAAAGCCUUGGAGAAAGGCACAGCAGCCUGACUGAGGAGGGCGAAGCAGAGAGAGCCACACAAACCAUCACUACCACACCCAGACACCACAACCUGAGGUGCUCAGGCAGGGGCUGAGCACUGAGACUCAGGCUCCAGAGGUUAGUUCUGGGGAGAAGACUAGGGUUGGCUGUGUGGAGACAGCCUGAGGGGCUAGGGAGCCAGGGCACCAUGGGCUGGGGUGUGGAGUGCCCCCUCCUAGGGAAACCAGGAGGAGGCCUGGUCCUGCAGGAGAAGCAAGGCGCCAUUGUUGGGGAGGGAGAGAGGAGGAGGGUUGGGAUCACCAUAGGAAUAUCUUUCCCUGGGCAUGCAUGGGCUCCUGGGUGGCAGGGAACCUCUUGCAUAAGGUAUGGGUGGUGGAGGCAAAUCACCAUGGCCAUCUCAGACUGCGGAGGUGGGCAUGGCCUACCACCACUGGGGUCUAUGAACAGGCACCACCCAUGGCCCCAGUCACCUCUGGGGUCAGCAAAGAGGAGGGUACUGCAACUGAGGGCUACCCGUUGUGGCUCUCACUCACUUGGGAAUGCACAGUCCUGCUGCUGCCACUGCCAAAUGAUCCAGCUGCCUCCUACACCUGCCUGAGGGUCAUUGCCACUUCCAAGGGGCCUGCAAACAGGAGCAGCCUGAGACACCUCCCUGCCGGUCCUUGCCACUGUUAAGGGCCCAGCAACCAGACACUGGCUACUAGCCUUGUCCAUUGCCUCCAUCUCCCUGGAAGCAACCACAGCUUGUAUACCAGCACACCCCAUAUUAAGGGGAUAACAGCCUGUACACACUGAGGAAGGAGACAGCAAACAUCCAAAGCAGCCCUCAUGCCAAAAAAUAAUAAUUAGCACUCAUAAGCUACCCAGGGGUUCUCUUGCAUAUAAAUAGUGCUCCAAGACUAUAGGAGUUGUUUUCCCUAAAUUCACGAAAUAAGAAAAAUAUAAGAAAAAUGAAGAAGCUCAGGAACCAUUCCCAGUUAAAAGAACAAGACAAAUACCCCAAAGGGGCAAACAAUGAAGCAGACCUCUGCAGCUGCAGCCUUAACAGACACUGAGUUCAAAAAGGAGAUAGUGAAAAUAAUGAAGGGAAUUAAGAGCAGAUAUGAUCAGUUAGGCAAAUUACUUUAAAAAGAAACUAGAAAAUACAAGGAGGAGCCAAGAAAAAUUAGAAAAUGCAUUUGCAGAGACACAAGCUGAUUAAAGGCACUGAAGAGCAGAAUGAAUAAUGCAGAGGAACAAAUGAGUGAGCUAGUUGGAAGAUAGAAUAAUGGAAAUCACUCAAUCAGGACAGCAGAUGGAAAACUAACUGGCAAAACAUGAAAGCAAUAUAAGACAUCUAUGGGAUAAGAUAAAGUAGGCCAAUCUACACAUAAUAGUGAUUCUAAAAGAAAAAAAGGGGGUUGAAAAAAUAUAUUUGAAGAAACUAUGGCUGAAAACAUUCCAAAUCUAAAGGAAACAGCAAGAUUCAGGAAGCACAGAAGGCCCCAAACAAGUUGAACCCAAAUAGACCCACACCAAGACAGUAAAAAUGGCAAAAGUUAAAGAUAAGGAGAGGAUUCUAAAGGCAGCAAGAGAAAAACAAACAUCUAAUUAUAUGGGAACUCCCAUAAGGCUAUCAGAUGAUUUCUCUACAGAAACACUGCAGGCCAGAAGAGAAUGGCAAGAUAUAUUCAAAGUUCCAAAAGGGAAAAAUUGCAGCCUGGAAUACUCUAUUUGGCAAGAAUAUCAUUUAAAGUAGAAGGAGAAAGAAAGAAUUGCCCCAAACAGAUAAAAGAAUACAGCAACACUAAACUCAUUCCAAAAGAAAUAGCAAAAAUUCUUCUCUAACUAGGAAAGAAGUAAGAAGAUACAGAAUGGAGGAAAUCACAAUUGGAAAGUAAUCAAUUAAAUGAGCCAGUAUAGAGAACUAAAAAAACAAAACAAAACAAAAACCUAUUUGUAAAAGCAAUGAUAAACACAAGGAACAGUGAAAGGAUAAACAUGAUGUAAAAGAGGGACAUCAAAAUCAUAAAAUGUGAAGAAAAGUAAGAAAAUUUAGACUUUUUUUCAAAUGUGUUUGAGCCUAUGUGACUGUCAGGCUAAAGCAAGCAAAUAUAGGAAGGGGUUAACAUACUUGAAAAACAGGGAAGCCACAAAUCAAAACCAAACAAUACAUUCACAAAAAACUAAAAAGAGGACAUGAACAUAAAAUGAAAUUAUCCAUCCAAAAAAAGAAAGGAAAAGGAACAAGGUUUAAAAUGGCAACAAAUACAUAUUUAUCAAAAUUACCUUAAAUGUCAAUAGCCUGAAUGCUCCAAUUAAAAGACAUAGAGUGGCAGAAACUCAAUAAAAAGACAAGAGCCUACAAUAUGCUGACCACAAGAGACUCACCUUAGGGCAAAGGACACACCUAAGUUGAAAGUGAGGGGAUUGGAAAAAGAUAUUUCAUGUGAAUGGAAAAGACAGGAAAGUGGGAGUUGCUAUAGUCAUAUCAGACAAAAUGGAUUUUAAAAAAAGGUCAUAAAGACAAGGACAUAAUUUAAUAAUAGUAUCCAUUCAAGAAGAGAAUAUUAUACUCAUCAAUAUAUAUGCCCCUAAUAUAGGAGCACCCAGAUACAUACAACAAAUACUAAGAGACAUAAAAGGAGAAAUUAAUGGGAAUACAAUAAUAGUAAGAGACUUCAACACUGCACCUACAUCAGUGGACAGAUCCUCUUGACCAAAAAUCAAUAAGGCAACAGAGAUCCUAAAUCACACAAAAGAAACAUUAGAUUUAAUUGAUAUUUUCAGGACAUUAACUCCAAAAAAUCAGAGUAUACAUUCUUUUCAAGUGUGCAUGGAACAUUCUCAGGGAUUGACCACAUACUGGAGCACAAAACUAACCUUAACAAAUUUAAGAGUAUAGAAAUUAUUUCACACAUCUUCUCUGACCACAAUGGCAUGAAACUGAAAUGAACAUCAAGAAAAGAAAUGAGAACAAACAGACUACAUGAAGAUUAAACAACAUGCUACCAAAAAAACCCAAUGGGUCAAUGAGGAAAUCAAAAGGGAAAUUAAAAAAAUACCUUGGAGUUCCUGUCAUGGCUUAGCAGUUAAAGAACCCGACUAGCAUCCAUGAGGAUGUGGGUUAAGGAUCCAGCAUUGCUGUAAGCUGUGGUGUAGGUUGCAGAGAUGGCUUGGAUCCCAUGUUGCUGUGGCCCUGGUGUAGGCUGGUGGCGACAGCUCUGAUUUGAUCUCCAGCCUGGGAACCUCCAUAUGCCAUGGGUGCAUCCCUA
rnacentral:lncRNA from 1 species